UACGGAGGGUGCAAGCGUUAUCCGGAUUCACUGGGUUUAAAGGGUGCGUAGGUGGGCAGGUAAGUCAGUGGUGAAAUCUCCGGGCUUAACCCGGAAACUGCCGUUGAUACUAUUUGUCUUGAAUAUUGUGGAGGUAAGCGGAAUAUGUCAUGUAGCGGUGAAAUGCUUAGAUAUGACAUAGAACACCAAUUGCGAAGGCAGCUUACUACACAACGAUUGACGCUGAGGCACGAAAGCGUGGGGAGCAAACAGG
rnacentral:rRNA from 1 species